GACGAACGCUGGCGGCGUGCCUAAUACAUGCAAGUAGAACGCUGAAGGAGGAGCUUGCUUCUCUGGAUGAGUUGCGAACGGGUGAGUAACGCGUAGGUAACCUGCCUGGUAGCGGGGGAUAACUAUUGGAAACGAUAGCUAAUACCGUAUAAGAGUAGAUGUUGCAUGACAUUUGCUUAAAAGGUGCAAUUGCAUCACUAGCAGAUGGACCUGCGUCGUAUUAGCUAGUUGGUGGGGUAACGGCUCACCAAGGCGACGAUACAUAGCCGACCUGAGAGGGUGAUCGGCCACACUGGGACGGAGACACGGCCCAGACUCCUACGGGAGGCAGCAGUAGGGAAUCUUCGGCAAUGGACGGAAGUCUGACCGAGCAACGCCGCGUGAGUGAAGAAGGUUUUCGGAUCGUAAAGCUCUGUUGUAAGAGAAGAACGAGUGUGAGAGUGGAAAGUUCACACUGUGACGGUAUCUUACCAGAAAGGGACGGCUAACUACGUG
rnacentral:rRNA from 1 species